rnacentral:lncRNA from 1 species
UUUAUUGCCAUGUGAAUCUUCAAGCUGAGCAGAGAAAACAGGAUAUCCAAAGCAUAGGAGCCAGUCAUAAAUUGGGAUUCCCAAGAAAAAGAGACUGAGAUAAAUUUUGAGGAGAGAAUCCACAACUCAAGAAGCUGAUUUUGUGGCAAAUCCUGCUCCCCUUAAAUCAGAGAUUGCAUACAUGUCAAAAAUGGCCAGAGAGGAAAAAAAUAAUUAAAGAUAUUAAAUACCUUUUCAAAAGCUUCUAAAAGAUGUGUAUUUUGAGAUUAUAUAUGCAGAAGUUCAGUUGUGAAAAUAUUCAUCCUUCAAAGUAUGAAACACACAUUUGCUGCUUUCCUUCCACUGAAGACUACUGGCUAAAUAUAUUACCAAAAAGAAAAAGUUCAGAUCAAUUUGGUUUGAUAAUGCCACUACGCAUCACUCUGCACAAUUCUGCUAAUCCCUCUGCAGAAAGUAUGAGGGAUUGAAAUACUUCAAU